rnacentral:lncRNA from 1 species
UAUAAGAAAAUAAUUCUGGACAGAGAUCUCAAUCUCCUGAUAUGAACUACACUAACAUUCUCUGCAUGCAUUUCUUACAAAAAUAAAUCCUAAAACAUUUUUUUUGAUAAGACAGAAAAACAAUCCACUGCAUUUCUCACUAUCCUCGCCAAGUAAGUGGUUGGUUACCUUGUUCUAAAGAUGACCAAAGGGUUUUCACAAAAAUUCAAUCAGCACAUCCCAGCAUCGAACGCAAUGUCUCUAGCCUUGGAUAUCCCAGUUCACCCUGAUAAGCCUCCAAUAUGUCAGGAGCUGUCUCAAGAUAUUUGUUCACAUACUUGUUCUCAAACAACUUCUUUGCAAUGUUUAAUGCAGAUACUAACUUGAAAUCAUUUCCAAUAACACCAUUGGAUAACAAAAACUGCAGAACUGAACAUCUUGGAAUAAUCCUCUUCUCUAAACUUAGUAGCAUCAGGUUCGGAUAUUUAGCAACAUCAGAAGGUUGCAACCCCAAUUCAUUCAAAUAAAAAUCCAUCAAUUUUCUGAUUUUCUUCUCUGAAGUAGCCAUAAGACUAGGUUGCAAUUUGAAAGCUGACACGAUAUCUUCCUCAGACCAUCCAAUGCUCUUAUAAACCCCUAUUUUAUAUUCCCAACUCGACUUAGUCAUCGAACACCUUACAGUAAGAGCAUUGACAAAGCACCGAGUAACUGGAUCAAACCCCAUUUCCUCAAUCUCUCUAACCAUCUCCUUAAAGUGUUCAUUCUUGCCCAUAAAGUUCAACGGUUGUAGCAUAAUAAAUUUGAAAAUAUUGUGGUGAGGUACACCCAGAUGUUGCAAAGUUGCAAUGUUAGGUUCAAGUUCAAGAGAAAAUCCAGUACAUCUUUUGAGAACAGUGAUGAUAUUGACAUUGGUGUGUAAAAAGCUUUGUAACAAAUUGACCGUAGGUACUAUUCGAUUUCUUAAACUUACACAUAAGAUAUUCCCAUUUGAAUCGACUAAACUCGCAAUUUCUGGUUUUGAUAAACCUAAUGAGGACUCAAAAUACUCAAAUUUGGGUUGAAGGGUUUCAACAGGAUCAGCUGCAAUCAGUCGUGGGUACUUAGUAAUAAGAUUUGCAAUCUGGGUUUGAGUAAAUCCAUAUGUUUUGAAAAGCUCAAGAACUAAGUCUGGUUGUGUUGGAGAUUCAAUAUCAUUGUACAUUUUUUUAGAAGCUAAGAUAGCAGAAUCUAAAGACAACCCACAUUUUUCUACAAGAUAAGAAACUGUGGGUGAGUGAUAAUUUGUUGUUGUUGUUGGGGUUAUUGAUAUGUUGGAGUUGGAUUUAAGAGAUUGGGUAUGAAAACAGUUGAGUGAGUAGACAUGAAUGGUGUUUGAAAAAUCUCGAUUUCUUGUUGUAAUAUAUGCAUUUUGUAUAAAACUAGAGCUUGUUGAGGCAAUAGUAGACAUGAAUGGUGUUUGAAAAAUCUGGACUUCUUGUUGUAAUUAAAUGGAUUUUGUUCCUAAUUUCUUACCUUGGAUUUGAACUCAAUUUCAAUGGCUCCUUUUACUUCCAAGAAGAAGAAGAACAAGAACAACCCUUAAAAACCACUCUCAGAUAAGUUCAUUACAUUACAGACCAGAUAAGCAGUAAACUAAAACACAACUGCAAGCCAACACACACUCUAAUUACAGACCACCAACACGCACUCUAAGUACACUACAGAGUACAGACCAUAGGCAGACUCAACAACAGUAAAAAGACAGCAGUUAGAUACUAAGGGGGGUCAAGUUUUAUUUUUCGCGGUAGAACCACCCCAAUACCAUCAUUCCAUAUCAGCUUUUUCAGCUCCAUGUUUUGUGAUCGUAAAAGUCGAAUGUGGUGAAUUCCAGAGAGUCCAUUCUUUGCAAGAUAGUCCACCACAUAAUUGGCUUCCCCGGAAAUCUUUGUCACCUUCACAGUCUGUAAUUUGUUGAACCAUAUUUUGCAUUGUUUCAUCAGCAUCACUUUGAAUGAUUAACGGUCUGUUUGAUUCGGGUGGGAUUCUUUCCUGGUAAUGGAGUCAUGGAGAAUGACAAGAACUUGCACAGAUGUCAAAAGCUAGUCUAUGGUCGGUAUUGGUUAGGGAUCAGGCCAGGAAGAGGAUUCUAUUGCUUUCUUGUGCUGAAUUGGUUCAAGUCACUGAAUGGAUACCUUGUCAGAAUAGAGGCAGGACAAACAGACACUUGUAGUUCCCCAGGGAUAGUGAGUGUUUAUGUUUGUUUUUUUUAUCGUCAGUCUAGAAAGUCAUCAAGGCACCAUGCCAAUUGCCAAGGCAGUUCACAGAGGAGUUUAAUUCUUCCCCGUCGUGUGUAUUAUGUGCCUGGUACGUAAAUUUUUCUAAUAAAUAUCUCUCUAACGAAAAGAAAAUUAAAGCAAAAGAAUAAAAAUAAGUGAAUAUUUCUAUGUUUCAAUUCAUCACAACUUCACAAGACUUGAAUGAAUGAGAUAUUUCUACUAUCUCAUUCUUGUGUCAUUAACCAACGUAGGAGAACAGUUUAGAGUCGGGUGGAUAUCAAAUUUGAAAUCCAUUUGCACCAAUCAGUGUGGUAUCACAUAUUUCUUUGUCGACACAGACCAGCAACACACAAUUUCUAAUUAUAGUCUCCCUGUUAGGCUUCUUAAUGAUAAUAAAAUACAGGUUCAUCAUGAAAUGCCCCCAAGAAACAAAUCUAGACACAGGUGUCUUCUGAAAGUAUGCACAAGCAUUCUGAGAUUCUGUAGAUGCAACAAUGGGAUGAAGGAAAGAAAUAAAUCUCGUCUUUGAUCUGUACCAGCAAUUCUACAUUUUCAUUAGAGACAUGAAUAUCUUCUCGUAUCUGAAUGGAUAUAUGCUUUACCUCCAUUAGUUCUCUCCCAUCAUGGAAGUCUUAGAUAUUAUGAACGGGAUAUAGAAUAACUUCGGAAAUGUGUCUACAUUGUCAGAGAAAACAAAUUCAUGCCGGAAAAAUCAGCCAGAUAGCUCACUUGUCGUGAACAACAGAUCUAUUAAAUAGUUAUGCUCAGGUGAUCCUCAUUUGGGUAUGAAUAUGAUAGUACAAGCUCAUAGACCUUAUUGUCAAAAUAUAAAGGAAAUCCAACAUUAAUUUGCUUCCAGGGAACAAAAGUGUUAAAAGCUCAAAGAGAACAGUAAUCAACAAGAGAACGAUUACCUAAAGAUUCAAUCUCUCAUAUUAUCACAGAAUAAUGUUUAUGCAGAGUAUACAAACAUAUCUAUAAGAAAAGAAUUCUGGACAGAGGUCUUCAAUCUCCUGAUAUCAACUACAAAUUAAUACACUCACAUUAUUCUGCAUGCACUUCUUACCAAAAUAAAUCCCAGAUUUUUUUUCUUUUGUGGACAAGACAGAAAAAUAAUCAACUGCAUUUCUCACUGUCCUCGCCAAGUACUUGUUUACCUUGUUCUAAAGAUGAGCAAAUUAAAGGGUUUUCACAAAAAUUCAAUCAGCACAUUCCAGCAUCGAACGCAGUGUCUCUAGCCUUGGAUAUCCUAGUUCACCCUUAUAAGCCUUCAAUACAUCAGGAUCCUUCUCCUGGUACUUGGUCACAUACCUCUUCUCAAAAUAUUUGUUCCCUACUAUCAACGCUGUCAUCAAAUUCACAUCUUUUUCAAUUAGGCCCUUUAGUAACAACAUUUGCAGAACUGAGCACCUUGGAAUAAUCCUCUUCUCGAAACUUAUUAACAUCAGGUUCGGACGUUUGGCAACAUCAGAAGGUUGCAACCCCAAUUCAUUCAAAUAAAAAUCCAUCAAUUUUUUGAUUUUCUUUUCCGAAACACCCAUAUAUUGAGGCUGCAAUUUGAAAGCUGAGACGACUUCUUCGUCAGACCAUCCAAAGCUCUUAUAAACCUCUACUUUAUAUUCCCAACUCGACUUAUUCAUCAAACACCUUACAGUAAGAGCGUGGACAAAGGACCUAGUAUAUUUAUCAAACCCCAUUUCCUCAACCUCUCUAAUCAUCUCCUUAAAGUGGUCAUUCUUCCACAUCAUCGCCCUCGGAUGUAGCAUAAUAAAUUUGGAAAUAUUGUGGUGAGGUACACCAUGAUGUUGCAAAGUUGCAAUUUUAGGUUCAAACUCAAGAGAAAAAUUAGUACAAUUUUUGAGAACAGUGAUGAUUUUGGCAUUGGUGUGUAAAAAGUUCUUUAACAAAUUGAUGGUAGGUACUAAUCGAUUUCGCAAACUUACAGAUAGGAUUUUCCCAUUUGAAUGGACUAAACUCACAAUUUCUGGUUUUGAUAAACCCAAUGAGGACUCAAAAUACUCAUAUUUGGGUUGAAUAAUUUUAAUAGGAUGAGCUAGAAUCAAUUGUGGGCGUCUGGUGAUAAGAUUUGCAAUCUGGGUUUGAGUAAAUCCAUAUGUUUUGAAAAGCUCAAGAAGUGUGUCAGGUUUCUCUGUAGAUUCAAUAUCAUUGUACAUUUUUUUAUAAGCUAAGAUAGCAGAAUCUAAAGACAACCCACAUUUUUCUACAAAAUAAGAAACUGUGGGUGAGUGAUAAUUUGUUGUUGUUGUUGUUGUUGGGGUUAUUGAUAUGUUGGAGUUGGAUUUAGAAGAUUGGGUAUGAAAACAGUUAACAUGAAUGGAGGGAAGUUUACAAAGAUAUGCAUUUUGUAUAAAAUUGUUGCAAGAUAAUUGAAACAUGUAGGGAAGUUGAUAAUUGAAUGGGUUUUGUUCCUAAUUUCUUACCUUGGAUUUGAACUCAAUUUCAAUGGCUUUUAGUACUUCCAACUUCCAAGAAGAAUAACAACCCUAAAAGCCACUCUCAUUACAAACUUAGAGCAUCUCUAAUGGGUCUCCUAUUUCCUCAAAUUUAGGAAAUCCCAAAAUAUCACGACCCUAACGCGUCUCCUAUAUUUUUAGC